rnacentral:rRNA from 1 species
GUGGGGAAUAUUGCGCAAUGGGGGAAACCCUGACGCAGCAAUACCGCGUGAGUGAAGAAGGUUUUCGGAUCGUAAAACUCUUUUAUUGGGGAAGAAGAAGUGACGGUACCCAAUGAAGAAGUCCCGGCUAACUACGUGCCAGCAGCCGCGGUAAUACGUAGGGGACAAGCGUUGUCCGGAAUCACUGGGCGUAAAGGGCGCGUAGGCGGUUUUAUAAGUCAGAUGUGAAAGGUACCGGCUCAACCGGUGACGUGCAUUUGAAACUGUAAGACUUGAGUACUGGAGAGGCAAGUGGAAUUCCUAGUGUAGCGGUGAAAUGCGUAGAUAUUAGGAGGAACAUCAGUGGCGAAGGCGGUUUGCUGGGCCAUAACUGACGCUGAGGCACGAAAGCGUGGGGAGCAAAUAGGAUUAGAUACCCCUGUAGUCC